rnacentral:rRNA from 1 species
UUGAACGCUGGCGGUAUGCUUAACACAUGCAAGUCGAACGGAAACGAUGUUAGCUUGCUAACAGGCGUCGAGUGGCGGACGGGUGAGUAACGCGUAGGAAUCUGCCAAUAGUGGGGGAGUAGCCCGGAGAAAUCCGGAUUAAUACCGCAUAAUCUCUACGGAGGUAAAGAGGGCCUCUAUUUAUAAGCUUUCGCUAUUUGAUGAGCCUGCGUAAGAUUAGCUUGUUGGUGAGGUAAAAGCUCACCAAGCGACGAUCUUUAGCUGGUCUGAGAGGAUGAUCAGCCACACUGGGACUGAGACACGGCCCAGACUCCUACGGGAGGCAGCAGUGGGGAAUAUUGGACAAUGGGCGCAAGCCUGAUCCAGCAAUACCGCGUGUGUGAAGAAGGCCUGAGGGUUGUAAAGCACUUUCAAUUGUGAAGAAAAGCUAAAGAUUAAUACUCUUUAGCCUUGACGUUAACUUUAGAAGAAGCACCGGCUAACUCCGUG